GUGUCCUCCGGGCCGGGCGGGGGCCUCGGAACGCCCGCGGAGGGGAGCAGAGCCGGGGUCCCCCAAUUCCUGUUCCCCGCGCCCCUCUCUGGCUUUGCGCCCAGCCGCGGGGUUCCCGGCCAGAGCAGGCGGCUUCCGCUCGCCGGGGCAGCAGAGUGCAAGUGCAUGGGCAUUCUGUAUCUUCAGGAUCCUCAUUGUCUCAUCAGUGAUUCUUUUGGCUGAAUCCUGACUGAAGCCAGAAGACAUGGGUGCCUGGGAAAUGCAGUAUCAAAAUUCAACAUCCUUGAAAUAUAAACCAAAGCAGGGAAGGGCGAAGUAAAUCCC
rnacentral:lncRNA from 1 species